rnacentral:rRNA from 1 species
AGCGAACGUUAGCGGCGCGCCUAACACAUGCAAGUCGCACGAGAAAGGGCUUCGGCCCCGGUAAAGUGGCGCACGGGUGAGUAACACGUGGGCAACCUGCCCAACCCUGGGGGAUAACCUGCCGAAAGGCGGGCUAAUACCGCGUACGAGGGCUCGACUUCGGUCGGGUUCUGAAAGCAGGCCUCUGUAUACAAGCUUGUGGGGUUGGAUGGGCCCGCGCUCCAUCAGCUAGUUGGUGAGGUAACGGCUCACCAAGGCUACGACGGAUAGCUGGUCUGAGAGGAUGAUCAGCCACACUGGAACUGAGACACGGUCCAGACUCCUACGGGAGGCAGCAGUGGGGAAUCUUGCGCAAUGGACGAAAGUCUGACGCAGCGACGCCGCGUGGGUGACGAAGGCCUUCGGGUUGUAAAGCCCUGUGGGGUGAGACGAACAGCUGGGGUUCAAAUAGGGCCUCGGUCUGACGGUAUCACCUUAGCAAGCACCGGCUAACUCUGUGCCAGCAGCCGCCGUAACAC